AUUGAACGCUGGCGGCAGGCCUAACACAUGCAAGUCGAGCGGAGCGGCGGAGGGGUGAGGAAGGCGUAGGAAUCGGAAUGGUAGUGGGGGAUAACGACCGCAAACGGGUGCUAAUACGACAAACUAUCAGAAGCGCCUAGGUCGGAUUAGCUAGCUGGUGGGGUAAAGGCCUACGAAGGCGACGAUCCGUAACUGGUCCGAGGGGAUGAUCAGUAACACUGGAUCUUAGCAACGGUCCAGACUCCUGCGGGAGGCAGCAGUGGGGAAUAUUGCACAAGGGGCGAAAGCCUGAUCCAGCCAUGCCGCGUGUGUGAAGAAGGUCUUCCGAUUGUAAAGCACAUUAAGUUGGGAUGCGUUACCAUCAGAGUAAGCACCGGCUAACUUCGUGCCAGCAGCCGCGGUAAUAC
rnacentral:rRNA from 1 species